CUCCGAAGCCAUUCUGCGCAUCGGUGCAGCGCUGCGGCUGCCGCUGCCGGCGCUUGCGGCUCUGGGAUUCCCGCUGCCGCUGCCGCUGAGGGACACCCUGUACGAUGCGGUUGCGAAUAACAGGUAGGGGUGAGGGUGAGGAGCGCGGCGGGGUAGGUGGCGGUCGGGAGGUUGUGGCGGUGCCGGUGGCAACCCAGGGCGUUUGUGGGGAGGAGGAAGAAGGGGGAGAUGGGUAUCUGCCAGUUCCCGCUGCCGCUGCCGGUGCUGCGGUGGGUUGCUGGCGGAAGGGGGAACGGGACGGGGCAUGAGGAGGCCGCGGUUGCGAACGGGGUGGAUUCCCGCCCCCCGCACUCUGGUUGCGGAUGGGAACGGUCGUGGAACGGGAGCCGCCCGUGUACCCCCUCGCUGAGUGAGCUGAGUGCGCGAUCCGUUAGACACGGCGACACGCGGGCGAUGAGAAACGCUUUCUGGUAAAGGGCCCUGCGUGAAGCCACAGCUCGCGCUGGCGGUUGGCAAGGAAGCGAGAAGGAAGAGAAGAAAGCGAUGAAGAGGAGGAGGAGGAGGAGGAGGAGGAGGAGGAAGGGAUGUUGAAUCAAUGCAGGGAUGUUGAAACACUGCAUCUGCGUACUGACCCUGGGGGGCGAAGGGGCUCUCGCUAGGAACAGCUUCAACCUACGCGGCGUUGAGGCUCCCGGGCUGUCCAAACCGCAGAACGGACAUUGGCAGUUAUCUGCUGACUUUUGCAAAGAUACCGCCCCAAUACCGCCAUUCCCCGUCCCCACUGCCUUUAUGCUUCGCAGGUACUCGUUCUUCGGCCGUACCGGCGCCUGUCGCCUGCGGGAUGCUGGCAGGUUUGCAGACCGGUUCAUUGUGGACUAGUAUGGCUGCGGGGCCCCGGCGGCAGUAGGCGUGAGGGGAGCGCGGCGCGAUGGUGGUGGUGAUGGAGCUGCUAGGAGGAGCGGGCGGCGCCGGCAGGGGCUGACGCGGGGCCAUUACCAGCCGGGGCGUGACUAGCGGCGAUGGGGGAAGUAGCAGUAACAGUGGUGUAAGCAGGAGUAGCAAUAGCAGCGAGCGGUGCUGGUGGCAGCAGCAGCAGCAGGUGCCAAGCUCUGGGGCAGUAACCGUAGUGUAGCGCUGUCGUCUAUGAGCCUGAAGGGUUGGGGUUUUAGUUGGCAUUCCGUUGCCGCUGCCUUGAACACGUUUUGCAAAACCAGACAGGCCUUAAGUAAGGUACCUGUCAUAGAUCAGUAUGCGUGCUUGUACUUUCAUCCUUGUUUCUGCUUCGGCAAAGGGAUUUCUUUUGUAUUUUUAUCUACUCGCCACGUUGUCUUUCGUUACAUAAUUCGUACCAGGCCUUGCAAUGUUGAAAUCCGUCGCGUGCACAGGUAGCUGCUUAGGCGGCAUUUCAAUAUGUGCCUAAUCAAGCAUAUAUACCGCCGAUUUAAGAUCAGUGCAGGAGAGGUUAGCCAGAGUGUCGACCUGUAAGAUCCGUACGGAGGGUUAAGGGACCGUAAUGGGUGCCGCAGCGAUGGCUGAGAGGAAGCGCGGGACGAGAGGGGCUGGACCUUGGGGAACCUCAACGAGCAGCUCGCCUAACUAAAUCAUAUCUCUUCUUAACGUAAAUGCUGAGAGGGGGGUACGUGACGGGUUGAACGUGUACGUGUCUGAGUAGGCACCUCUCAUUCCUUGCCGGGGGGUGUUUCCGUGGCUUGCACGGCGUGUACAUAUGCUGGAUUGUGCAAUUUAAGGAUCUGAACAGCGUGACCACAUACGGGGAGGCCGGCGAUGUAACAGGCCAGACGCGGAGGCCUUUGGGGAGUGCAGGGAGCCUACAACCUACCGGCAGGCAAGCAGGGUAGGCGGGCAGGCAAGCAGGGUAGGCAGAAAAAGCAAACAGGGUAGGCGGGCAAGCAUGCCGUUUACUUUGCGGGAAAUAAUCAACCAGUUUAUCACGGUGAACAUUAGAGGUUGUACGGCUCUUGGGAGGAGCUUACACGCACGCUCUGGUACACGUUAUUACCGCUUCAUUAGAAAUCAUCAUACGGCAUACCAACCUGAAUGAGAAGAACCCAGAAUGUGCUUGUGCAGCGAGUUUAUCGUCACACAUUUUCCCUCUGGCAUGAGCCCAAGUGCAGUGGUGAUCGAUUACAGAACUGAGAAUGUGAGAAUGCCAUGUUUUGUGUCGGGUGUUGCGGGUUGUCUCUGCAUGUGGGAUGUCGCAGGAUGCGCAUUGCUAAUCAAUAGCAUACCCAUUGCGGAGAGCCCAGCGUCUCAGCGAAGUGAAGUCCAGGUUGUUUACCCUCCCUUCCGCAGCUUGUAGGCUGUGAGCAUCUGCUGAAAUUUCUGAGCUGGGAACUCUGGUAAGUUUAAACUAGUCGGCAACAGCAAGGUGGCCAGAGCGCUUUUUAUACCAUGAUGUUCUUAUAACAUAUGCUCUCAUAAACAUGAUGCUUUUUG
rnacentral:lncRNA from 1 species